AGAGUUGAUCCUGGCUCAGAGUGAACGCUGGCGGCAUGGUUAAGACAUGCAAGUCGAACGAGAAGCAGGACUUCGGUCCUGUGGAAAGUGGCGAACGGGUGCGUAACACGUGAGCAACCUGCCCCUAAGUACGGAAUAGCCCACCGAAAGGUGGAUUAAUACCGCAUGUGACCCUUUAUCGCAUGGUAGAGUGGUUAAAGCUUGUAAUGGCGCUUAGGGAUGGGCUCGCGGCCUAUCAGCUUGUUGGUGAGGUAACGGCUCACCAAGGCUAAGACGGGUAGCUGGUCUGAGAGGAUGAUCAGCCACACCGGGACUGAGACACGGCCCGGACACCUACGGGUGGCAGCAGUUUCGAAUCAUUCACAAUGGGCGAAAGCCUGAUGAUGCAAUGCCGCGUGGAGGAUGACGGCCCUAGGGUUGUAAACUCCUGUCAUUAGGGAACAACAAGUAGGUUCAUAGCCUACCCUGAGUUAACCUAAAGAGGAAGAGGUGGCUAACUCCGUGCCAGCAGCCGCGGUAAUACGGAGACCUCGAGCGUUACUCGGAUUUACUGGGCGUAAAGGGUGAGCAGGCGGCCAGGUGUGUUAGGUGUGAAAUCCCGGGGCUCAACCCCGGAACUGCGCCUAAAACUACCUGGCUAGAGUAUCGGAGAGGACAGUGGAAUUCCAGGUGUAGCGGUGAAAUGCGUAGAUAUCUGGAGGAACACCAGUGGCGAAGGCGACUGUCUGGACGAUUACUGACGCUCAAUCACGAAAGCGUGGGUAGCGAAAGGGAUUAGAUACCCCUGUAGUCCACGCCGUAAACGUUGUGCACUAAGUUUCGGAGGAUUCGACCCCUUCGGAGCUCAAGCUAACGCGUUAAGUGCACCGCCUGAGGACUACGGCCGCAAGGCUAAAACUCAAAGGAAUUGACGG
rnacentral:rRNA from 1 species